AAACCGAAAAGGGGUCUGUACAAGGCCCAUGGCCCAAACAACAAAGCCAAAACAAAGCAAAAAAUUGGAUGGGUCUAAAAGACCCGAUCCAACACCUAUCUAAUCCCUUACAGAGAGGGCAAAUAUCUAUUUUUGGAAAGUCUCCAGAAGACCAAUUUCCUACUUUGAUGCUUCCCUUCAGAAUCUUCCUCCAAUGUUCUCCAAGUUGAAGCUUGCUGUCUUUCCAUUCCUAUGGUGAAGGACCAAUUUGCUGAUAGGAUCUGCAACGGAUCCAGCUGUGAUUGAAGCCACUUAGCUGAGUUGACUCCUUCUCGCUCUACACAACCCUGUACCCCCCUUAUUUUUCGUGUAUACAUGCUCCUGAAAAUCUGUCUAACUUUAUGUAUCCAGCAAUGUCUUCUUGACAAGAUAAAUUAUCUGUUAUGGUAUGGUUUGUCAUGUUUAUCAAAUACUGCGUGAUGUUCUUGCUGUUA